UACGAAGGGGGCUAGCGUUGCUCGGAAUUACUGGGCGUAAAGGGUGCGUAGGCGGGUCUUUAAGUCAGGGGUGAAAUCCUGGAGCUCAACUCCAGAACUGCCUUUGAUACUGAAGAUCUUGAGUUCGGGAGAGGUGAGUGGAACUGCGAGUGUAGAGGUGAAAUUCGUAGAUAUCCGCAAGAACACCAGUGGCGAAGGCGGCUCACUGGCCCGAUACUGACGCUGAGGCACGAAAGCGUGGGGAGCAAACAGG
rnacentral:rRNA from 1 species